rnacentral:rRNA from 1 species
AUACGGAGGGUGCAAGCGUUACUCGGAAUCACUGGGCGUAAAGCGCGCGCAGGCGGUCUUUUAAGUUGGAUGUGAAAGCCUACGGCUCAACCGUAGAACUGCAUCCAAAACUAUUAGACUAGAGUGUGGGAGAGGAAGAUGGAAUUAGUUGUGUAGGGGUAAAAUCCGUAGAGAUUACUAGGAAUACCAAAAGCGAAGGCAAUCUUCUGGAACACUACUGACGCUGAGGCGCGAAAGCGUGGGGAGCAAACAGGAUUAGAAACCCUAGUAGUCC